rnacentral:lncRNA from 1 species
AGGGGCUUUAAAUAGAUUUAUGGGUGAUUAGCCCCAUGAAGAGUAAUUUUAAGGAAGCGAGGGACGCGAGACGUAGCGGCAGAUUGCCUGUGGCCCGUGAUUGUUGAAGGUUGUGGCGGAGACUCGACUGCUGGCAUGAGAGCCAAGGAAGGCGGAUAGUUAUCUGCCCCUUUCUCAGCCCCCACAGCACAUCCACUAGACUGAAAGCUCGCUGUGGACAGGGAACGUGUCUACCAACCUUGUUAUAUUGUACUCUGCCAACCGCUUAGUACAGUGCUCUGCACACAGUAAGCACUCCAUAAAUGCCACUGAUUAUGUACCUAUCCAUAAUGUACCUAUCUUAAUGUCUGCUCCCCUCUCUAAAUCGUAAGAUCAUUGUGGGAAGGAGACGGGUCCACCGACUCUUAUACUGUAGUCUCGCAAGUGCUUAGUUCAGCGCUCUGCACACAGUAAGCGCUCGAUAAAUACAACUGAUUGAUUUAUAUGGCUGCUUCCACCACACCCACUCUCCUGAACCCCAACCUUUGGGCAUAACAACAGGUGAUUGUGCGAGUACAAAACUCCUGAAUGACCGCUUCCAACUGAAUAAUGGUCCAUCCCUGAUCUAAAGCAAUUUCUCUCAUUUUUGUCCAUUUCCUUAUCAACAGAUACUUAGGAAACCAUGACCGAAAAGACAAAUGAUUCCGUUUGCAGCAUGUGGCUAAACACAUCCAUCUCCCUUUAUUUAAACAGUCAGGUGGAGGCUGUGAAGUUCAUCAGUCAAAUUUGUGUCUCUUUCCACGGGUGAUAAAGAUAAAGGCUUUCCCCUAUACAACCUGUUUGGGGCAGAAACGACCUUCAGUGAAGCCACCGAUGACUUUUCCCAUCAAUCCACUCUACUCCAUCCCUCCAAACGGAGCAGUUUCUUCAUUCAGUGUCCCCAAAACAAGGUGAUAAAACACAACCAUCUUUCCUCUUUCACUGAUGUUUAGUCCUGGUGACAAACCUUUUCACUUUCU